GAUGAACGCUGGCGGCGUGCCUAAUACAUGCAAGUCGAACGCUGGAAAUCUAGCUUGCUAGAUUGAAGGAGUGGCGAACGGGUGAGUAAUACAUAAGCAACCUACCCACGAAGACUGGGAUAAUCUCUGGAAACGGGGACUAAUACCGGAUAGGUAAUCGGAAGGCAUCUUCUGAUUAUUAAAGGUUAAAAACCCUGGUGGAUGGGCUUAUGGCGCAUUAGUUAGUUGGUGAGGUAACGGCCCACCAAGACGAUGAUGCGUAGCCGGCCUGAGAGGGUGAACGGCCACAUUGGGACUGAGACACGGCCCAGACUCCUACGGGAGGCAGCAGUAGGGAAUUUUCGGCAAUGGGGGAAACCCUGACCGAGCAACGCCGCGUGAGUGAUGACGGCCUUCGGGUUGUAAAGCUCUGUUGUAAGGGAAGAACGGUAGAUAGAGAAUAUCUAAAUGACGGUACCUUACCAGAAAGCCACGGCUAACUACGUG
rnacentral:rRNA from 1 species